UCUGCUUUAUGCUGAGCAGCAAGUCGAGCUGCAGAAUUGCAAAGGAAACUUAGCGGUCGCGUCACAUGGUCAACGCUGUGACUGGCUGAUCAAAUUCAACUUAAACUCCACCCUUGGAUGUGUAUUAGUGUUGUGUAACCGCUUCGAAGAUUCCAAAGUUUCCGAAAACCUGCUGUUCGUUUGAAUAGUCUGGAACCCAGUGAGAGCAGGAGGUGCUGAGUGAGAGACGGCUCACGCUCACUGCGCCCCCCAGUGGAGGACAGAACUGUGAACCUGAGUGUCGGUCUGGAAACACUGCAGGACUGAGAGGAUGUGUGUGACGUGUGAAGACUGGAGUGUGUGCUUGUGUACUAGACAAAUCACACACCUGUAAAAUGACCACACACACACACACACACACACACUGUUAUUUCAAUAAACACACAGGUUUG